CACUAGCGAUCCGCCGGCGGAUUCCAAACGCCCUGGUGGGGAGCUUCCCGGAAACGAUUAAGUCUUCCGGUUCCGGGGGAAGUAUGGUUGCAAAGCUGAAACUUAAAGGAAUUGACGGAAGGGCACCACCAGGAGUGGAGCCUGCGGCUUAAUUUGACUCAACACGGGGAAACUCACCCGGCCCGGACACCGCGAGGAUUGACAGAUUGAUAGCUCUUUCAUGAUUCGGUGGAUGGUGGUGCAUGGCCGUUCUUAGUUCGUGGAGUGAUUUGUCUGGUUUAUUCCGAUAACGAGCGAGACUCUAGCCUACUAACUAGUCCGCAUGCUCCCCCGCGGAGGCAUGCCCCCACGGACUUCUUAGAGGGAUUUUCGGCGUUUCAGCCGCACGAAACUGAGCAAUAACAGGUCUGUGAUGCCCUUAGAUGUCCGGGGCUGCACGCGCGCUACACUGGCGAAAUCAGCGUGCCUGUCCUCUCGCGAAAGCGACUGGUAAACCGGUGAAAAUUCGCCGUGCUUGGGAUCGGAAAUUGCAAUUAUUUUCCGUGAACGAGGAAUUCCAAGUAAGUGCGAGUCAUCAACUCGCGUUGAUUACGUCC
rnacentral:rRNA from 1 species